CAUCUUUUUGCUGUGUAUCUAUACUAACUUCUUAGUGUCCUAUUGAUAAAUGCUUAUGGUUUUAACCUCAUUCUAAGAUGGUUGCAGGUAAAAUUGCUCUCUUGUAUUUUCUGAUCUAGAUCAAGCGCAAUGCCACUUGUGACAUUGUGAUAAACUUGCAUUACUGCUGAGGUUUGCAUUUAAUGCUUAUGCUGGCUCUCUGCACAAUGCUAGUCCUCAAUUCGCAUGUUAUGAGAAAGAGUCGUGAAUUUCGAAUGAAAUUUUUCAAUGCUUAAACAUCAGAAUUUUGUAUGUGUGUUAUAUACACACACACAUAUAGAUAGGGAUGACUGACUAUUGUCUCUAAUGAAUUUUGUUUAGAUUAGAUUCUUGAGAUAAAUCCAGUGUGUUAUGGUUCGAGAAUCAAGCUGCAAAACAAAGGAAUGAAAUUAUUAAGGUUGAGAUUCGGAUUGGAAUUUCGAGUUUGGAUCAAAAUUGAUAGAUCCAAUAUAUACAUGCAUAUAUACACACACAAGCAUGCAUGCAUAUAUAUACUGAAGCAAGCAAAAUCAUCUUGAAAAUAGCAUCAUACUAUGGCGCCAUUAAUUGUGAACCAGGGGUAUUUCUUAAUGCCAUUUCAGGGUAAAAC